GUGCCAGCCGCCGCGGUAAUACGGAGGGUGCAAGCGUUGUCCGGAUUUAUUGGGUUUAAAGGGUGCGUAGGCGGUCUUUUAAGUCAGUGGUGAAAGCCAGCAGCUCAACUGUUGGAUUGCCAUUGAUACUGAGAGACUUGAGUAUAGUUGAGGUAGGCGGAAUUGACAGUGUAGCGGUGAAAUGCAUAGAUAUUGUCAAGAACCCCGAUUGCGUAGGCAGCUUACUAAGCUAUAACUGACGCUGAGGCACGAAAGCGUGGGGAUCAAACAGGAUUAGAUACCCCAGUAGUCC
rnacentral:rRNA from 1 species